CUACGGGUUGCAGCAGUGAGGAAUAUUGCACAAUGGGGGGAACUCUGAUGCAGCAACGCCGCGUGGAGGAUGACACUUUUCGGAGCGUAAACUCCUUUUAUAUAGGAAGAAGAUGACGGUACUAUAUGAAUAAGCGCCGGCUAACUCCGUGCCAGCAGCCGCGGUAAUACGGAGGGUGCAAGCGUUAAUCGGAAUUACUGGGCGUAAAGAGCGUGUAGGCGGAUUAAAAAGUCAGAAGUGAAAUCCUAUAGCUUAACUAUAGAACUGCUUCUGAAACUCUUAAUCUAGAAUAUGGGAGAAGUAGAUGGAAUUUCUGGUGUAGGGGUAAAAUCCGUAGAGAUCAGAAGGAAUACCGAUUGCGAAGGCGAUCUACUAGAACAUUAUUGACGCUGAGACGCGAAAGCGUGGGGAGCAAACAGGAUUAGAUACCCUAGUAGUC
rnacentral:rRNA from 1 species